rnacentral:rRNA from 3 species
GGUCAAGCGAAUAAGUGCAUGUGGUGGAUGCCUUGGCGAUCACAGGCGAUGAAGGACGUAGUAGCUUGCGAAAAGCUGCGGGGAGCUGGCAAACGAGCUUUGAUCCGCAGAUGUCCGAAUGGGGAAACCCGGCCCGUAUGGGUCAUCCCUUGCUGAAUACAUAGGCAAGGGAGGCGAACGCAGUGAACUGAAACAUCUAAGUAGCUGCAGGAAAAGAAAUCAACCGAGAUUCCCAAAGUAGUGGCGAGCGAAAUGGGAACAGCCUUGUACUCUUUAGCAGUAUUGUUAGCGGAACGGAAUGGAAAGUCCGGCCAUAGUGGGUGAUAGCCCCGUACGCGAAAACAGUAUUGUGGAACUAGGUGUACGACAAGUAGGGCGGGACACGUGAAAUCCUGUCUGAAGAUGGGGGGACCAUCCUCCAAGGCUAAAUACUCGUGAUCGACCGAUAGUGAACCAGUACCGUGAGGGAAAGGCGAAAAGAACCCCGGGAGGGGAGUGAAAUAGAUCCUGAAACCGCAUGCAUACAAACAGUCGGAGCCUGGAAACGGGUGACGGCGUACCUUUUGUAUAAUGGGUCAGCGACUUACAUUCAGUGGCAAGCUUAACCGAUUAGGGAAGGCGUAGCGAAAGCGAGUCCGAAUAGGGCGUUCAGUCGCUGGGUGUAGACCCGAAACCAAGUGAUCUAUCCAUGGCCAGGUUGAAGGUGCGGUAACACGUACUGGAGGACCGAACCCACUAACGUUGAAAAGUUAGGGGAUGAGCUGUGGAUAGGGGUGAAAGGCUAAACAAACUUGGAAAUAGCUGGUUCUCUCCGAAAACUAUUUAGGUAGUGCCUCGUGUCUCACCUUCGGGGGUAGAGCACUGUCAUGGUUGGGGGGUCUAUUGCUGAUUACCCCGCCAUAGCAAACUCCGAAUACCGAAGAGUGCAAUCACGGGAGACAGACAUCGGGUGCUAACGUCCGGUGUCAAGAGGGAAACAACCCAGACCGCCAGCUAAGGUCCCUAAGAUUGGCUAAGUGGGAAACGAAGUGGGAAGGCUAAAACAGUCAGGAGGUUGGCUUAGAAGCAGCCACCCUUUAAAGAAAGCGUAAUAGCUCACUGAUCGAGUCGUCCUGCGCGGAAGAUGUAACGGGGCUAAGCCAGUCACCGAAGCUGCGGAUGCACGUAAGUGCAUGGUAGGAGAGCGUUCUGUAAGCCUGUGAAGGUGUCUUGUAAAGGAUGCUGGAGGUAUCAGAAGUGCGAAUGCUGACAUGAGUAGCGAUAAAGGGGGUGAAAGGCCCCCUCGCCGUAAGCCCAAGGUUUCCUACGCAACGUUCAUCGGCGUAGGGUGAGUCGGCCCCUAAGGCGAGGCAGAGAUGCGUAGCUGAUGGGAAGCAGGUUAAUAUUCCUGCACCGUCGUAUGAUGCGAUGGGGGGACGGAUCGCGGAAGGUUGUCCGGGUGUUGGAAGUCCCGGUCCCUACAUUGGAGAUGGCACUUAGGCAAAUCCGGGUGCGUGAUUCAAGGGUGUGGGGCGAGCGACGUUAGGUCGCGAAGCAAUUGGAAGUGGUUCCAAGAAAAGCCUCUAAGCUUCAGUCAUACGAGACCGUACCGCAAACCGACACAGGUGGGCGAGAUGAGUAUUCUAAGGCGCUUGAGAGAACUCGGGAGAAGGAACUCGGCAAAUUGGUACCGUAACUUCGGGAUAAGGUACGCCCUUGUAGUUUGACUGGCUCGCGCCAGAAGGAUGAAGGGGUUGCAAUAAAAUGGUGGCUGCGACUGUUUAAUAAAAACACAGCACUCUGCAAACACGAAAGUGGACGUAUAGGGUGUGACGCCUGCCCGGUGCCGGAAGAUUAAAUGAUGGGGUGCAAGCUCUUGAUUGAAGUCCCGGUAAACGGCGGCCGUAACUAUAACGGUCCUAAGGUAGCGAAAUUCCUUGUCGGGUAAGUUCCGACCUGCACGAAUGGCGUAACGAUGGCCACACUGUCUCCUCCCGAGACUCAGCGAAGUUGAAGUGUUUGUGAUGAUGCAAUCUCCCCGCGGCUAGACGGAAAGACCCCAUGAACCUUUACUGUAGCUUUGCAUUGGACUUUGAACCGAUCUGUGUAGGAUAGGUGGGAGGCUUUGAAACCGGGACGCUAGUUUCGGUGGAGCCGACCUUGAAAUACCACCCUGGUUUGUUUGAGGUUCUAACCUUGGCCCGUGAAUCCGGGUCGGGGACAGUGCAUGGUAGGCAGUUUGACUGGGGCGGUCUCCUCCCAAAGUGUAACGGAGGAGUUCGAAGGUACGCUUGGUACGGUCGGACAUCGUACCUAAAGUGCAAUGGCAAAAGCGUGCUUAACUGCGAGACCGACAAGUCGAGCAGGUGCGAAAGCAGGACAUAGUGAUCCGGUGGUUCUGUAUGGAAGGGCCAUCGCUCAACGGAUAAAAGGUACUCUGGGGAUAACAGGCUGAUACCGCCCAAGAGUUCAUAUCGACGGCGGUGUUUGGCACCUCGAUGUCGGCUCAUCUCAUCCUGGGGCUGUAGCCGGUCCCAAGGGUAUGGCUGUUCGCCAUUUAAAGAGGUACGUGAGCUGGGUUUAAAACGUCGUGAGACAGUUUGGUCCCUAUCUGCCGUGGGCGUUGGAAUCUUGACGGGGGCUGCUCCUAGUACGAGAGGACCGGAGUGGACGUACCGCUGGUGUACCUGUUGUCUCGCCAGAGGCAUCGCAGGGUAGCUAUGUACGGAAGAGAUAACCGCUGAAAGCAUCUAAGCGGGAAACUCGCCUGAAGAUGAGGAUUCCCUGGAGACUUGAUCUCCCUGAAGGGUCGUUCGAGACCAGGACGUUGAUAGGCUGG